rnacentral:rRNA from 1 species
AACGAACGCUGGCGGCAGGCUUAACACAUGCAAGUCGAGCGCCCCGCAAGGGGAGCGGCAGACGGGUGAGUAACACGUGGGAACAUACCCAUCUCUGCGGAACAACUCCGGGAAACUGGAGCUAAUACCGUAUACGCCCUUCGGGGGAAAGUUUUAUCGGAGAUGGAUUGGCCCGCGUUGGAUUAGCUAGUUGGUGGGGUAAAGGCCUACCAAGGCGACGAUCCAUAGCUGGUCUGAGAGGAUGAUCAGCCACAUUGGGGCUGAGACACGGCCCAAACUCCUACGGGAGGCAGCAGUGGGAAUAUUGGACAAUGGGCGAAAGCCUGAUCCAGCCAUGCCGCGUGAGUGAUGAGGGCCUUAGGGUUGUAAUGCUCUUUCACCGAUGAAGAUAAUGACGGUAGUCGGAGCAGAAGCCCCGGCUAACUUCGUGCCAGCCGCCGCAGUAACAC